rnacentral:rRNA from 1 species
AGUGAACGCUGGCGGUAGGCCUAACACAUGCAAGUCGAACGGCAGCACAGUAAGAUCUUGCUCUUACGGGUGGCGAGUGGCGGACGGGUGAGGAAUACAUCGGAAUCUACUUUUUCGUGGGGGAUAACGUAGGGAAACUUACGCUAAUACCGCAUACGACCUACGGGUGAAAGCAGGGGAUCUUCGUACCUUGCGCGAUUGAAUGAGCCGAUGUCGGAUUAGCUAGUUGGCGGGGUAAAGGCCCACCAAGGCGACGAUCCGUAGCUGGUCUGAGAGGAUGAUCAGCCACACUGGAACUGAGACACGGUCCAGACUCCUACGGGAGGCAGCAGUGGGGAAUAUUGGACAAUGGGCGCAAGCCUGAUCCAGCCAUACCGCGUGGGUGAAGAAGGCCUUCGGGUUGUAAAGCCCUUUUGUUGGGAAAGAAAAGCAGCAGGUUAAUACCCCGCUGUUCUGACGGUACCCAAAGAAUAAGCACCGGCUAACUUCGUG